CUGAGUGGUGCAAACAGUUAAUGCUUUUGGCUGCUAACCAAAAGGUUGGAGGUUCAAGUCCACUCAGA
rnacentral:tRNA from 1 species